AGAGUUUGAUCCUGGCUCAGGACGAACGCUGGCGGCGUGCUUAAUACAUGCAAGUCGAACGGGGUCCAACCGGUGGCAACACCGGUGAAGACCUAGUGGCGAACGGGUGAGUAGCACGUGAGCAACCUGCCCCGAAGACUGGGAUAACACCGGGAAACCGGUGCUAAUACCGGAUGUCCCCAUCAGACCGCAUGAUCUGAUGAGGAAAGGAUUUCUGCUUCGGGAGGGGCUCGCGGCCUAUCAGCUUGAUGGUGAGGUAAUGGCUCACCAUGGCGACGACGGGUAGCUGGUCUGAGAGGACGAUCAGCCACACUGGGACUGAGACACGGCCCAGACUCCUACGGGAGGCAGCAGUAGGGAAUCUUGCGCAAUGGGCGAAAGCCUGACGCAGCAACGCCGCGCGAGGGACGAAGGCUUUCUGAGUUGUAAACCUCUUUCAGCAGGGACGAUUGUGACGGUACCUGCAGAAGAAGCACCGGCCAACUACGUGCCAGCAGCCGCGGUGAUACGUAGGGUGCGAGCGUUGUCCGGAUUUAUUGGGCGUAAAGAGCUCGUAGGCGGUUCGAUAAGUCGGGUGUGAAAUCUCCAGGCUCAACCUGGAGUCGCCACUCGAUACUGUCGUGACUAGAGUCCGGUAGGGGACCAUGGAAUUCCUGGUGUAGCGGUGAAAUGCGCAGAUAUCAGGAGGAACACCAGUAGCGAAGGCGGUGGUCUGGGCCGGCACUGACGCUGAGGAGCGAAAGCGUGGGGAGCGAACAGGAUUAGAUACCCCGGUAGUCC
rnacentral:rRNA from 1 species